CCAGAGCGUGUGGAUGCUGGCGGGAACCUGGCGCUUCUGGGUCAGCUACCUGAGGAGGAACCGGCCUGGGGUCUGGGCUGUCGCUUGCCGUCGCCUCCGGUAUGGCCGCCGGGCAGGAUGGAAGGCAAUUCACACCAUGUCUUCUCUCCUUCUGUGGAUUCAGAGCUUCUCCCAAACCUGGAUGCUCCUCAAUCAAUGCCCAGUCUGCUCUUUGCACAGUAAAUCUAAGGCUUGCAAGGAGAGAAAGCUGAAGAAAGUGGAGAAGUGCAGAGGGAAGAAAAGGAAAGAGAAUGAACAAGAGAAGAAUGAUUUCUGGCACCCAAGGCACACAGAGCUGCCUGGCCUUUGGGUACAGCAUGAAGACUUGUGCAGCUCUGACUUCUGAACAUUCUGGAGUGGUUACUUUGCAUUUAAAAGUGCAAAUAUGACUCAAUAACAUGAAAUUGUUUUGUGUAGUUGAAUAUUAUGUAUGUUAGUUAUUUCUUCCAUUCUCUCUCCCUUGAACACUUCCAUCCCUCUUCAGAUGUGCUAUUCUGUGCUCUUUGCCUUGGAAAGAGAUUGUAACACUCUGAACCAUGAAAAAGGUUGGUGGGCUCUAACUUUUACUUCCAAAUAUUUCGCAUUUAGAGACCAGAGACCACAAAUGUUUGGAGAAAACAAAAGGGAGAAAAAAAGACCUUUCCACAAAACUUUACUAAAUAUCCCCCAGUACUGUUCAGAUUUUUAAAAAAUAAAAGGAUUUUUUUCAGUAUUAGAAAAGGGACAAAAAAUGGAGAGGAGAUAAUGAGAGUUUAAUGGGCUUAAGAGAGGGAGCGAGAGCCUGGAGAGAUUUAAGAGACUUAAGAGCUGAGAGGGUUUAGGACGUGUGUGUGGGCCCUGAGUCCUCCCUAGGUGGGCAACAAGACCCCAGCUGCACCAGCCUCUCUGAGAUUCUUUUAAGCCAGUUUUAAUUGUGGAAAAAAGGGACUUCUUAAUUGGAAUAUGCAUGGUCCUGGAUUAAGAGGUAUCUUAGUAGGCACUGACCUGAUAGAGCUGUUGAAGACAAGGUAGGUCCUCACAUCCUGAAAAGCUUGAUUCUAUGUGAGCCUCCUCUCCUGGGAGACUUGAGCAAAAGGAGGGAAAGGAGCUGGUAAGAUUCAGUAAUUGAGACAAAUUUUUUGCCACCUUAGAUCAAUUAGGGCUUGAAAUAGAAUUAAAUUUCUUGUACUUCAGAGUCUGUGAACUGAGAUUCAUAUCUGCUGAUUUCUUUAAGUAUUAUAAAAUAUAUAUAACAUAAAAUUUACCAUUUUAACCAUUUGAAGUGUAUUAAGAACCUUCACAAUGUUAUGCACCCAUCACUAUCAUCCAACUUCAAAACUUUGCAACAUCUCCAACUAAAAUGUUGUAUCCACUAAACAUGAACUUUUCAUUUCCACCUCCCCUUCAUCCCUAGGUACCACCAUUCCCCUUCCUGUCUCUGUGAGUCUGAAUACUCCAGGCACCUCAUGUAAGUGGACUCAUACAGCAUCUGUCCUUUUGUGACUGGUUUAUUUCACUUAGCAUAAUGUUAUCAAGCUUCAUCCAUGUUGUAGCAUUUGUCAGAAGUUCCUUUUUAAAGAAAGGAAAAGAAAAAAGGAAAGAAAAUUUGUAAACAUAUUUAUAUGUAUAUUAUUUGUAUACAUAUGUUUAUAUAUAUAUACCACAUUUUAUUUAUCUGUUGAUAGACACUUGUGUUGCUUCCAAUUUUUGACUAUUAUGUCUUGAUUUUCUUAAU